UGCUGUGAGGCAUUGAGCUAACUGAUACUAAUUGCCCGGGAGGCUUAACCAUACAACACCCAAGGGGUUU
rnacentral:rRNA from 1 species